GUGAAUCAUCGAAUUUUUGAACGCAAAUUGCACUCUCUUCGGAGAGUAUGCCUGUUUGAGGGUCAGCCUAAAAAAAAUCGACAUUGUUUCUGUUACCCCGUAACCUUCGUCGGAAAUUUGGUCAUCUUAAACCUUUUGGUCUUAGCGGCUUAAAAUUUUUUUUUCGAUUCCCAGAACGUUUCUUAGAUUUUAUUUUCUUUUUCGUUUAAGGUAUCGAUCUUUAUUUGACUUUGCCCUUUCCUCGGAUC
rnacentral:misc_RNA from 1 species